CCUACGGGUGGCUGCAGUGGGGAAUAUUGGACAAUGGGGGGAACCCUGAUCCAGCCAUGCCGCGUGUGUGAAGAAGGCCCUCGGGUUGUAAAGCACUUUCAGUGAGGAAGAACGCCUGGUGGUUAAUACCCAUCAGGAAAGACAUCACUCACAGAAGAAGCACCGGCUAACUCCGUGCCAGCAGCCGCGGUAAUACGGAGGGUGCGAGCGUUAAUCGGAAUUACUGGGCGUAAAGCGCGCGUAGGUGGCUUGAUAAGCCGGUUGUGAAAGCCCCGGGCUCAACCUGGGAACGGCAUCCGGAACUGUCAAGCUAGAGUGCAGGAGAGGAAGGUAGAAUUCCCGGUGUAGCGGUGAAAUGCGUAGAGAUCGGGAGGAAUACCAGUGGCGAAGGCGGCCUUCUGGACUGAAACUGACACUGAGGUGCGAAAGCGUGGGUAGCAAACAGGAUUAGAUACCCUGGUAGUC
rnacentral:rRNA from 1 species